rnacentral:rRNA from 1 species
CCGCGGCAAGACGGAAAGACCCCGUGAACCUUUACUAUAGCUUGACACUGAACAUUGAGCCUUGAUGUGUAGGAUAGGUGGGAGGCUUUGAAGUGUGGACGCCAGUCUGCAUGGAGCCGACCUUGAAAUACCACCCUUUAAUGUUUGAUGUUCUAACGUUGACCCGUGAUCCGGGUUGCGGACAGUGUCUGGUGGGUAGUUUGACUGGGGCGGUCUCCUCCUAAAGAGUAACGGAGGAGCACGAAGGUUGGCUAAUCCUGGUCGGACAUCAGGAGGUUAGUGUAAUGGCAUAAGCCAGCUUGACUGCGAGCGUGACGGCGCGAGCAGGUGCGAAAGCAGGUCAUAGUGAUCCGGUGGUUCUGAAUGGAAGGGCCAUCGCUCAACGGAUAAAAGGUACUCCGGGGAUAACAGGCUGAUACCGCCCAAGAGUUCAUAUCGACGGCGGUGUUUGGCACCUCGAUGUCGGCUCAUCACAUCCUGGGGCUGAAGUAGGUCCCAAGGGUAUGGCUGUUCGCCAUUUAAAGUGGUACGCGAGCUGGGUUUAGAACGUCGUGAGACAGUUCGGUCCCUAUCUGCCGUGGGCGCUGGAGAACUGAGGGGGGCUGCUCCUAGUACGAGAGGACCGGAGUGGACGCAUCACUGGUGUUCGGGUUGUCAUGCCAAUGGCACUGCCCGGUAGCUAAAUGCGGAAGAGAUAAGUGCUGAAAGCAUCUAAGCACGAAACUUGCCCCGAGAUGAGUUCUCCCUGACUCCUUGAGAGUCCUGAAGGAACGUUGAAGACGACGACGUUGAUAGGCCGGGUGUGUAAGCGCAGCGAUGCGUUGAGCUAACCGGUACUAAUGAACCGUGAGGCUUAACCUU